GAUGAACGCUGGCGGCGUGCCUAAUACAUGCAAGUCGAGCGAACAGACGAGGAGCUUGCUCCUCUGACGUUAGCGGCGGACGGGUGAGUAACACGUGGAUAACCUACCUAUAAGACUGGGAUAACUUCGGGAAACCGGAGCUAAUACCGGAUAAUAUAUUGAACCGCAUGGUUCAAUGGUGAAAGACGGUUUUGCUGUCACUUAUAGAUGGAUCCGCGCCGCAUUAGCUAGUUGGUAAGGUAACGGCUUACCAAGGCAACGAUGCGUAGCCGACCUGAGAGGGUGAUCGGCCACACUGGAACUGAGACACGGUCCAGACUCCGACGGGAGGCAGCAGUAGGGAAUCUUCCGCAAUGGGCGAAAGCCUGACGGAGCAACGCCGCGUGAGUGAUGAAGGUCUUCGGAUCGUAAAACUCUGUUAUUAGGGAAGAACAAAUGUGUAAGUAACUAUGCACGUCUUGACGGUACCUAAUCAGAAAGCCACGGCUAACUACGUG
rnacentral:rRNA from 1 species